rnacentral:rRNA from 1 species
GGGUCUACCCAUUGGUCAGGCUUAAAUGUCUGCACUGGUGAGAUGGAUCUCUACCUUCUGAGGAACUUUCAUGCUAUUUAUUUGGUGUGAUUGGAAAUCAGGACUGUUACUUUGAAAAAAUUAGAGUGUUUAAAGCAGGCCUUUGCCCGAAUACAUUAGCAUGGAAUAAUGAAAUAGGACGGACUGAUUCUAUUUCGUUGGUUUCUAGGAUCACCGUA